GGCCACCUUAAUUUGUGUUCUGUGCGC
rnacentral:sRNA from 1 species